AAUCAGAGGAUGGAUAUGCAAAUGAGGAUCUGUCCAAGCAGGAGCUGAAUGUCAACUAGUCAAAGAUGGAGGCUGGAGCUGGAAGGCCAUGAGGUUUCUACCGGGGAGGAGAACCGCCUCUCUACCCCUCAGGAAGGCGCAGGGGCAAGGCAAGAGUCGAGGCUUGGGGCCCUAUGGAAGGCUUCUAGUGGGCGAGUGGCAACCAAAGGCCCUUGCAGCCCCUUUAUCCAACUUUUCCAGAAGGAGGUGCCUUUCUAGCCCAGAUGCCAUUCAUGAAUUUGGGGUCUUAUUGCUGGAGCCUGAAUGCACACAGCUUGGGGAGUAAAUUCACAUCUGCAUAAAAAGUUGCAUUGCUUUCUGGAGAUGGUGAUGAGUGGAAUACAUAUUUAACGUGACUAUAGUUCCCAGGAAACACACUCAAAAAGUAUUCAUCAUAUUGUGUCAGUAUUAUAUAUAUUUACAUUUUAAAUUAUGCAGUUGAUAGAUUGUAAAUUACAAUUUUGCUUGUGAAGUUAUUCUGCUUGGCAGGUAUUGUGACAUUAGCAUUUUGCACCCCUAGAAUCCUGUGUGUUGUUUACCCGGGGAGCUCAGGUGUAGGGAAAGAAAAACAGGGUGUUUUUGGUGCAUAUGCGGGAUUUUAGCUGCUGAAUGAUUCAUAUAUAAUUAUGUGUAUGAAUAUAUCUAUCACUAUUGUUAUUCCUGAUGAAGUUCACCUAAACUCUUGUCAAUAUGUA